rnacentral:rRNA from 1 species
GACGAACGCUGGCGGCGUGCUUAACACAUGCAAGUCGAACGGAAAGGCCCUGCUUGCAGGGUACUCGAGUGGCGAACGGGUGAGUAACACGUGGGUGAUCUGCCCUGCACUUCGGGAUAAGCCUGGGAAACUGGGUCUAAUACCGGAUAGGAGCCAUUUUUAGUGUGAUGGUUGGAAAGUUUUUUCGGUGUGGGAUGAGCUCGCGGCCUAUCAGCUUGUUGGUGGGGUAAUGGCCUACCAAGGCGGCGCCGGGUAGCCGGCCUGCGAGGGUGGACGGCCACAUUGGGACUGAGAUACGGCCCAGACUCCUACGGGAGGCAGCAGUGGGGAAUAUUGCACAAUGGGCGCAAGCCUGAUGCAGCGGCGCCGCGUGGGGGAUGACGGCCUUCGGGUUGUAAACUCCUUUCGCUAGGGACGAAGCUUUUUGUGACGGUACCUAGAUAAGAAGCACCGGCUAACUACGUG